rnacentral:rRNA from 1 species
GACGAACGCUGGCGGCGUGCUUAACACAUGCAAGUCGAACGAUGAAGAAGAGCUUGCUCUUCGGAUUAGUGGCGAACGGGUGAGUAACACGUGACUAACCUGCCCCUUUCUCUGGGAUAACGCUCCGAAAGGAGUGCUAAUACCGGAUACUCACAUCGAGGCACAUGCCUUGAUGUGGAAAGUUUUUCGGAAAGGGAUGGAGUCGCGGCCUAUCAGCUUGUUGGUGAGGUAACGGCUCACCAAGGCGACGACGGGUAGCCGGCCUGAGAGGGGGACCGGCCACACUGGGACUGAGACACGGCCCAGGCUCCUACGGGAGGCAGCAGUGGAGAAUAUUGCACAAUGGGCGCAAGCCUGAUGCAGCGACGCCGCGUGAGGGAUGACGGCCUUCGGGUUGUAAACCUCUUUCAGCACCGACGAAGCGCAAGUGACGGUAGGUGCAGAAGAAGGACCGGCCAACUACGUGCCAGCCGCCGCGGUAA